rnacentral:rRNA from 1 species
AGUGAACGCUGGCGGUAGGCCUAACACAUGCAAGUCGAACGAGUGGCGGACGGGUGAGUAAUGCAUCGGAAUCUACUCUAUCGUGGGGGAUAACUACGGGAAACUUUCGCUAAUACCGCAUACCAUGUGAUGAGCCGAUUUCGGAUUAGCUAGUUGGCGGGGUAAAGGCCCACCAAGGCGACGAUCCGUAGCUGGUCUGAGAGGAUGAUCAGCCACACUGGAACUGAGACACGGUCCAGACUCCUACGGGAGGCAGCAGUGGGGAAUAUUGGACAAUGGGCGCAAGCCUGAUCCAGCCAUGCCGCGUGGGUGAAGAAGGCCUUCGGGUUGUAAAGCCCUUUUGUUGGGAAAGCGGUACCCAAAGAAGAAGCACCGGCUAACUCCGUGCCAGCAGCCGCGGUAAUAC